rnacentral:rRNA from 1 species
CACGUAGGGGACGAGCGUUGUCCGGAUUCAUUGGGCGUAAAGCGCGCGUAGGCGGCUCGGAAAGUCGGUCGUGAAAUGCCGGGGCUCAACCCCGGGACUGCGUCCGAUACUCCCGAGCUGGAGGCAGGUAGGGGAGAUCGGAAUUCCUGGUGUAGCGGUGAAAUGCGCAGAUAUCAGGAGGAACACCGGUGGCGAAGGCGGAUCUCUGGGCCAUUACUGACGCUGAGGAGCGAAAGCCAGGGGAGCGAACGGG